UGGGGUGAGGCACCAUCUCUCUGACUCGGACUCCAUGCACGGCUUGGCAUGUUUCGGGCGGUGGGAGAAGCGUGAGGGGGUAAGGGGCCUGUGGAGGUCUUUCUGUGCUUCCACUCCUCCUGGAAAUGCAUGGUGGAUGUAGCUGGACUCAGCUGUGCUGUGCGGUGGAGCCCAUGGGAGGGCCUGAGAGGCAGGGGUCAGAGCUGGGGCUUGUCCUCGUGGCCAGUUGUGGCCGUGGCGGUGGCACCCCCUGGUGGAGGCCCGCAUUGGGCUGCCCAGGUGCUGUUGCGCUGAUGCGCCGGUUGGUUGGUGGGGGCGUGGGGUCUAAGCCCCAGGUGACCACAGUUUGGGACCUGAAAAUAAAUGUGUGCUGGUUUUGCAGUUUGCAGGGGUGGGGUCUGGAACCUUCUGGUUAUGCUUUCAUAGUCCCCUCCCGACUCUCAGCAGGGCCCCUCCUGCUUGGGAGCUCAUUCUUUGGAAAAAUUCCCUUUUAAGUCCUUGGCUUCUGUUUCUCAGUUUGUGUUCAUGUGUCUUGGUCUCAUUCUCCGUCUUGCUCUGUCUCUGUCUCUCAUUUCUCCCCAUGAACUUGCCGGUCAGCAGGCAGUUGGUCACCUCGUGAUUCUGAAAUGUUUCUUCUCUCUCCUGCCUGUCUGAGUUCUGCUGCAGAGAAGCUGCUGUUUCUCCACGGGUCAUGGAAAGACUGGCUGCUGUUCUCUCUCAUCCUGGGCUCAGGUGGUCCCUGCAGGCUCCCACACCAACCAAGCAGGAGCUCUUGAUGAAAGAGGGGGCUCUGCUCAUCUGAGAUGAAGCCACCAGGGGAAGAGCCGGAUGGCUGAGCCUGGGGUCCCCGCCCCCGCCUCUGAUGCAGGCUUCCAGGCAGGCCAUCGCACGCUUUGCUGGUAUGUGCCAUCUCCUUUGUUCUUACAUGUUUCUACUUUCUUUUUCCCCAGCCUCGUGUUGAUUGCUUUUCUGACAACUUUUUGGCAAGCUAUUUUUGCUAUGAGGGAGGCUGGGGUGGCUGCUGUGGGUGGAGGUCAUGUCACAAACCCAAGAGAGAGCAGUUGCCAUGACCUCAUUCUGUGCCAGGGGAGUGAGUCCUGGUCCCUGACCUAGAACAGAAGAUAAUGAAGUUGAGUCAUAAAGAGUUUUUUCCAAACUGUCAGUGAUGCAGGCUCGGAACCUUAGGAACUAUGGUAGCCUGUAGCCAAGCCUUUUCUAGGGGCUCAUUCUCUUGCUGGUUGUGGGUUUAGCAGGUUGCCCUUCCAGUGCGGGGACCUCAAGGUGCAGGUGCCUGUGAGCUGGGCUAGAUGCCCUCUGAGGUGUCUUCUAAGAUCCUACGAAGGCCAGCAGCACAGAGACUAGAACUGGGGUGUGGUCUUCCUAACCACGUUGGAACAUGCGGUCUGCGGAGUCAGUAACUCAUUCAUCACAGGUGUUUACUCCUAAACUCCUGCCCUGUGCCGGGCACGGUGCUAAGAGCUGGGGUGCAAUAGCCAAUUGGCGGCCAAUUUGGUGGGGGAGACAGACCCCCCAUUCCUGACACAGGUGGAAUUACCGUCCAGUCAUAUGUGGGGUGUUUGGAGCACAGAGGAGAGGUACCAGGCCCAGUGGGGGCUUGGGAAGGCUUCCUGGAGGAGGCACCGAGGCGACUGUCUGAAAGCAGUAGCAGGAGCUGGCUAGGCCAGCAAAGGGGAGUGUAACAGUAAGGAGAGGAAAGGUGAAUUGUUCUGCCCAAACCACCCAGUUUAAAAGCAAAGCCCAUGAGGGAUAAUGACAAAGCCCAGGUCUAGAUUUUACAGACCAAAUUUUAAUCUACUCUUCCUUGUACAGGCUUCUCAAACUUAAUGUCCAUCCGAUAUCUGAACUGGAUCCCCUUCGAAGCACCUCAGCAGGGGGCAUACAACCUAAAAUUCCCUGCAGGGACUGCAGAUAAGUGUGUCCUGAUAAUCCUGGCUUUAGGAGUUCCCGCUGAGACGCAGUGGGUUAUGAAUCUGACUGCAGUGACUUGAGUUGCUGCGGAAGAUUCCCCAGCCAGGUGCCAUGGGUUAAAGGAUCUGGCAUUAGCGUUCCCACUGUGGCACAGUGGGUUAAUGAUCUUGCCUGUGUCCCUGGCCAGUUUGAUCCCUGGCCAGGCGCAGUAGGUUGGGGGUCUGGCAUUUCUGCAGCUGUGGUGAUGUAGGCCAAAGAUGCAGCUCGGAUUCAAUUCCUGGCCUGGGAACUUCCAUAUGCUGUGGGUGCAGCCAUAAAACAAAAUUAAAAAAAAAAAAA
ensembl:lncRNA